UACCCUCUUAGUUCAAUGGAUAAGACACUCGGCUACGAACCGAGAAGUGGAAGUUCGAUUCUUCCAGAGGGUGUUCA
rnacentral:tRNA from 1 species